GCGCGAAUGGUGAAAUUGAGAGACACGCUAGAUUUAGGUUUCUAGUGCUUUAAACAGCGUGAGGGUUCGAGUCCCUCUUCGCGCACCA
rnacentral:tRNA from 1 species